rnacentral:rRNA from 1 species
UACGGAGGUCCCAAGCGUUGUUCGGAUUCAUUGGGCGUAAAGGGUGCGUAGGUGGCAUGGUAAGUCGGGUGUGAAAUCCCGGGGCUCAACCCCGGAACUGCACUCGAUACUGCCGUGCUCGAGUACUGGAGAGGAGACUGGAAUUUACGGUGUAGCAGUGAAAUGCGUAGAUAUCGGAAGGAAGACCGGUGGCGAAGGCGAGCCUCUGGACAGUUACUGACACUGAGGCACGAAAGCCAGGGGAGCAAACAGG